GUGGGGAGCAAACAGGAUUAGAUACCCUGGUAGUCCACGCCGUAAACGAUGUCUACUUGGAGGUUGUGGCCUUGAGCCGUGGCUUUCGGAGCUAACGCGUUAAGUAGACCGCCUGGGGAGUACGGUCGCAAGAUUAAAACUCAAAUGAAUUGACGGGGGCCCGCACAAGCGGUGGAGCAUGUGGUUUAAUUCGAUGCAACGCGAAGAACCUUACCUACUCUUGACAUCCAGAGAACUUUCCAGAGAUGGAUUGGUGCCUUCGGGAACUCUGAGACAGGUGCUGCAUGGCUGUCGUCAGCUCGUGUUGUGAAAUGUUGGGUUAAGUCCCGCAACGAGCGCAACCCUUAUCCUUGUUUGCCAGCGAGUAAUGUCGGGAACUCCAGGGAGACUGCCGGUGAUAAACCGGAGGAAGGUGGGGACGACGUCAAGUCAUCAUGGCCCUUACGAGUAGGGCUACACACGUGCUACAAUGGCGCAUACAGAGGGCGGCCAACUUGCGAAAGUGAGCGAAUCCCAAAAAGUGCGUCGUAGUCCGGAUUGGAGUCUGCAACUCGACUCCAUGAAGUCGGAAUCGCUAGUAAUCGUGGAUCAGAAUGCCACGGUGAAUACGUUCCCGGGCCUUGUACACACCGCCCGUCACACCAUGGGAGUGGGCUGCAAAAGAAGUAGGUAGUUUAACCUUCGGGGGGACGCUUACCACUUUGUGGUUCAUGACUGGGGGAAGUCGAACAAGAGCGAAAGGCCCC
rnacentral:rRNA from 1 species